rnacentral:rRNA from 1 species
CGGUGGAGCAUGUGGUUAAUUCGAAGCAACGCGAAGAACCUUACCAGGCCUUGACAUGCAGAGAACUUUCCAGAGAUGGAUUGGUGCCUUCGGGAACUCUGACACAGGUGCUGCAUGGCUGUCGUCAGCUCGUGUCGUGAGAUGUUGGGUUAAGUCCCGUAACGAGCGCAACCCUUGUCCUUAGUUACCAGCACGUUAUGGUGGGCACUCUAUGGAGACUGCCACCUAAAGUGGAGGAAGGUGGGGAUGACGUCAAGUCAGCAUGGCCCUUACGUCCGGGGCUACACACGUGCUACAAUGGCCGGUACAAAGGGUUGCGAAGCCGUGAGGUGGAGCGAAUCUCAAAAAGCCGGCCUCAGUUCGGAUUGGAGGCUGCAACUCGCCUCCAUGAAGUCGGAAUCGCUAGUAACCGCAGAUCAGCUACGUUGCGGUGAAUACGUUCCCGGGCCUU